rnacentral:rRNA from 1 species
UACAGAGGGUGCAAGCGUUGUUCGGAAUCAUUGGGCGUAAAGGGCGCGUAGGCGGCCUUGUAAGUCGAAUGUGAAAGCCCAGGGCUCAACCUUGGAAGUGCAUCCGAAACUGCAGGGCUCGAAUCUCGGAGAGGGUGGUGGAAUUCCCAGUGUAGAGGUGAAAUUCGUAGAUAUUGGGAGGAACACCGGUGGCGAAGGCGACCACCUGGACGAAGAUUGACGCUGAGGCGCGAAAGCGUGGGGAGCAAACAGG